rnacentral:lncRNA from 1 species
GUAAACUUUCAAAACCUAGACUUGCCACUUAUGAGCUAGCAAGAGUUUGAGUUGUACAACCUCUCUGAGCAUCAGUUUUUGUGCCUGUGAAAUGGAAUAAUACCUACCUUAUGAAUCUAGUCGCAUGCUGGAUACAGAGAGAGCCUUUAAUACUAGGAUGCUGAAAAACACACAAACUGUAUAGUUCCAAUAUGCCAUCCAAGUACCCUACCACCAAAGUGCUGAAAACUUGAUUUGUAUGAGGAUCUUGCUAUAGUUUUGUUCAAGUAUUUGUAUAAGUAUAUUCUCUGGAUUUAAGGAAACAUACACAAAUGACAAACAUAUCAUCAGCUUUUUUCAGUUGCAGCAGAAGCCACUGUAUGAGCCACUGACAGAGGGCAUCACAAGAAUGAAGUGAGUCCACUUGCAGAGCUCAUGGGACCUGGAGGGGAGGCAGCUCCAGUGCCCCAUUGCUAUGAGAGAAUUGAGCAUCAUGAAAUGGAUCACACUGAUAGCAGGACAGAGCUGUUUCUUGCUGGCUGUUUCUGUACUCCUCAAUCCCCUAUCUCAACUGCCAAGAAGCAUACACCUCUGAGACCACAACUAGAAGGGAGGCAAGGUGGGGGACACGUGUGGAAGGAAACGAGGAAUGGACUGAAAACAGAAGACUAUCACACUUCUUGUCAUCGUGGCUUCCCAGCAACCUACCAUGUUCUCACUCCAGCAAUGGCAGCUGAGGGAAGAUGCAUUCCGGGAGCAAGACUGCUCUGCCCAACCACUCCUCGGUCUCACCUUUCUAAUCUGUCAGAUCCAAACAAUAUCAUGUGCCUCAUAAAGACCCCACCCCACCUUCCUUUUUUACAAAAUCAAAUACUGACUCCUCGUUGUUUCUAA